rnacentral:tRNA from 1 species
AGCCCUUUAGCUCAAGCAGCGAGAGCAUCCGAUUUUGACUCGGAAGGUGACGGUGCAAGUCCGUCCGGGGCCUCCC